UAUCGUUGACAGCGCUAAAAGCCUUGCCACUGCUGAGCUAUAGUGCACAAGAGAAAGGCCGGAAGCACAGACGUGCAACCAGGAGCCGUUUCAGAUUCCAGUGCCGCUGCUCAGCAGCUCUGCUCCCUUGGGCUCCUCACUGAACUCCUCUGGGCCUCACCUUUCCCAUCUGGAAAAUGAGUAGGGAGGAUUCCAGCACCUACUUUCUCUGGCGGCCGAGCAGGAGAAGGGAUGGCAGGAAUCAGGCAGAGAGCCCAGCUCACGUGAGCGUCCCUGCUUUCCCAGACCCCUGCCUGUCCUGUUUUCCCUUUCGACUACUGUGAGCAUCGGAACCUUCAGAGGAGUCUCCGGGUCUGCCAGAGAGAAAUGGAAAAGUUGGCAAAGCCCCAGGAGGCAGAGGACCUGCAAUAUCCACAGGUGGGCUGAUCUGGAGUCCCUCAGCUAUAAACUGGAGACACCACCCACUUCAAGGAAUAGCCAUGGAGAUGAGAUGCAGCAGUGUCCAAAGAACUCCCUAGUACUCUAAGCAUAGUCUGUUAGCAAGGCCAGUUCCCCUUCCCCACACGCGUGACUUCCUGUCCUUUUCUUGGAGGCAGCCAGGCAGACUACAACCAAUUAAAGCAAGCAGGCCACCCUCCCUGCCCCACACACCUGUUCCAACUAAACUUGUAUUUCAGGCUCUAAAAGAAAAAGAAC
rnacentral:lncRNA from 1 species